rnacentral:rRNA from 1 species
CAGUCGCCGCGGGAAUACGUAGGGUGCAAGCGUUAAUCGGAAUUACUGGGCGUAAAGUUUGCGCAGGCGGUUAUAUAAGACAGAUGUGAAAUCCCCGGGCUCAACCUGGGAACUGCAUUUGUGACUGUAUAGCUAGAGUACGGCAGAGGGGGAUGGAAUUCCGCGUGUAGCAGUGAAAUGCGUAGAUAUGCGGAGGAACACCGAUGGCGAAGGCAAUCCCCUGGGCCUGUACUGACGCUCAUGCACGAAAGCGUGGGGAGCAAACAGGAUUAGAUACCCCAGUAGUCCCUGUCUCUUAUAC